AGUGAACGCUGGCGGUAGGCCUAACACAUGCAAGUCGAACGGCAGCACAGGGGAGCUUGCUCCCUGGGUGGCGAGUGGCGGACGGGUGAGGAAUACAUCGGAAUCUGCCCAGUCGUGGGGGAUAACCUCGGGAAACCGGGACUAAUACCGCAUACGACCUUAGGGUGAAAGCGGAGGACCGCAAGGCUUCGCGCGAUUGG
rnacentral:rRNA from 1 species